GCCCAGCAGUGCACCCAAAAGACCACCAGCCGGAGGGCAGAGUCCCAAGGGCAAGGAAACAGGAGUGCCAGUUAAGGGUCCCUCAGGAGCCUUGCGAUGCCACCACCACACUGACAGCACCCUUUAAGGCUCUGAAGGACUUGACUAUGUUAACUCAGCUGUGUGACUUUGCGUCAGUCACCUAACUCCGCUGAGCCUUGCAUUACUCAUCCCUGGGAAGGACGCUGCUUCUUCACCCUGGAGGACUGACACUGUAAUGUCCUUCCAAAGAGGGCCUUGCACCGCUCCCUUUGGCCAUCAGACUUUCACGACAACAGUCCCCAAAGAAUUGGGAUGUCUCCAGGAUUCUCACGCUGGGAGAAGGGAAAGUCCAAAGCCUGGCACCAGCUACAGGGGAACUCCCAGGAAGACAUUUUCACACGGUUCUGACAACUGACAGGCCAUCUUGCAGGAGGCUGGAGCCCCGAGGUCACCGGGGUCUCACCGUGUAACUCUGGCUGGCCUCGAACCCCAUGAGAUCUGCCUCCGAUCCUGAGCGCUGGGAUUUAAGAAGUGCAACAGAGCUCACACCCAGCUGUGAUGAGCCGGUGGCUGAGCCCAGCUCAGGGCUGCCCGGGCCCAGGCUCUCCCCUAACUCUGCUAACAGUGGGGCUGCAUGUAAGGGCCCAGGGGGCACACAUUGCCACACGCCUGAGGCAGGAGGGCUGUUGAGUUACACGAGGAGACCCUGUCUCAAUCUCGCCCAUUCCUGUAGAAAGCGUUAGAAACUGGCCGGGCUAGGUCUUCUGUGGACGCCAGCGGGGACCCCGAUGGCACAGAACUGAAUGGGUUUGUGGGACUGGGGCGCCGGGACUUCUGCCCUGGCUGUGGACGAUGACGGGGCCAGAUGGGGUUGCACUAGCUCAGCCUCACCACCAGGGGGCAGGAGAACCCACCCACCAAGGCGACCACAGCUCUAGAGGCAGCCCAGGUUCUUUUCUGACAGGGUUUCUCUGUGUGGCCCUGGCUGUCCUGGAACUCCCUCUGUAGACCAGGCUGGCCUCGAACUCAGAGAUCCUCCUGCCUCUGCCUCAGCCCCCAGGUUCCUCUGAAGAAUCCGCAUUGCUGGCACUGGCUGUAAAGUCUCUGGCACUGGGUCCCCAUUCCUCUCCCAGGUCACACAGCGAACCUGGGCCAGGCCCCAAGCCCUCUGGGGCAGAGGCAGCCUGGCUCCUGAGAGGCUGAGAAGGGGAGGCUGGGCCCUGUGCUCACAGAGCCGGUCUACAUGGGUGACCCUGUCUGUGGGGGUGGACGGGUGGACGCGGCCGGGCACGCACACAGCGGGAGUUCCACACGCACGGGUGUGGAGCGCAGGUGCCACCCGGUGUCUUCCUGCGCUGGCUGAGCUCGGUC
rnacentral:lncRNA from 1 species